AUUAAAAGUCAGAGAACCGCUGUGUAUUUCGGGACUUUUAGUGUUGUUAAGAGACCUAUCUGUCAUGGUGUUAUUCGACCUCUCAUCUAUGACUCUCUCCUUCGUCGGCUUGUCCUUCUCCGCUCCGUUCGUUGCAAGCUCGAGUCCUCCGCUCCGAUCAAACCUCCCGAGUUGAUGCGUCUCCACGCAGUCUGCUUCCAUGAAUUGAAGACUGCGGUGGUGUUGCUGGGAGAUACGGAGAUUCAUUUAGUGGCGAUGCCGAGCAAGGAGAAGAAGUUCCCUUGUUUCUAGUGUUUCUCAGUCUCUUCAGGUCUUUAUGAUUUCUUAUUCGGAUCAUUCCUGAGGUUAGUAGACAAUCGAGAGCGCUUUGUUCAUCCUCUGAACGAAUUUGAGUGUUUGUGAUAUAGGAUUCUAUUAGAGAGAUUGUUUCUGAGUAUAACGUUUACGAGCAUAUGGUGAUUACUAAGAUCAAAGGUCUGUUUUUACACUCAGUGCUUUGAUUUGCUCUCGUUGUUGUUAUCUUAACGUCAUGUGAUGAUUCAAUGUUUGUAUGCAAAUGGUGUAAACGUUGCUGCAUCUCAUCCUCUAAUAUCAGGCGGUUUAGCCUUUGGUGUUGGAGUCUUUGCUCUGAAAAGUGUUCUGAAGUUUAGAUGUGGUGGUAAAGUAAGUAAGCUUUAACAUGUUGUCUUGGUCUGUGCUGGAAUGAUGUUGCAAACCCAACAUCUUUUGCUUUCUCGGUUGUUUUUUGUGAAGAACACUUGGUUUAACAAUGAAUAUAACCCAACGUUAUGCAUGGCUUGCUCUGAGUUUAACCCAACGUCUAUUUAUUAUAUUUGUUUGUUCAUAUGAUUAUGUUCUCUUUGUUUUUAUUGUGUGUAUUGUCUCUGAUCAGUAUUUUUUGCAGGUGGAAAACAAUAAAAAACUUGUUACAAAAGAGAACAUAAUCCAAUAAUUUAUAAGUUUUGUACAAUUUAAAUUUAAUAAUUCAACUUUUAAAAUUAAAAAAAAAAAUUGAA